AGGGCGCACGGUGGAUGCCUUGACACUAGGAGUCGAUGAAGGACGGGACUAACGCCGAUAUGCUUCGGGGAGCUGUAAGUAAGCUUUGAUCCGAAGAUUUCCGAAUGGGGAAACCCACCAUACGUAAUGGUAUGGUAUCCUUAUCUGAAUACAUAGGGUAAGGAAGACAGACCCAGGGAACUGAAACAUCUAAGUACCUGGAGGAAGAGAAAGCAAAUGCGAUUUCCUGAGUAGCGGCGAGCGAAACGGAACAUAGCCCAAACCAAGAGGCUUGCCUCUUGGGGUUGUAGGACAUUCUAUACGGAGUUACAAAGGAACGAGGUAGACGAAGCGACCUGGAAAGGUCCGUCGUAGAGGGUAACAACCCCGUAGUCGAAACUUCGUUCUCUCUUGAAUGUAUCCUGAGUACGGCGGAACACGUGAAAUUCCGUCGGAAUCUGGGAGGACCAUCUCCCAAGGCUAAAUACUCCCUAGUGAUCGAUAGUGAACCAGUACCGUGAGGGAAAGGUGAAAAGCACCCCGGAAGGGGAGUGAAAGAGAUCCUGAAACCGUGUGCCUACAAAUAGUCAGAGCCCGUUAACGGGUGAUGGCGUGCCUUUUGUAGAAUGAACCGGCGAGUUACGAUCCCGUGCGAGGUUAAGCUGAAGAGGCGGAGCCGCAGCGAAAGCGAGUCUGAAUAGGGCGUUUAGUACGUGGUCGUAGACCCGAAACCAGGUGAUCUACCCAUGUCCAGGGUGAAGUUCAGGUAACACUGAAUGGAGGCCCGAACCCACGCACGUUGAAAAGUGCGGGGAUGAGGUGUGGGUAGCGGAGAAAUUCCAAUCGAACCUGGAGAUAGCUGGUUCUCCCCGAAAUAGCUUUAGGGCUAGCCUUAAGUGUAAGAGUCUUGGAGGUAGAGCACUGAUUGGACUAGGGGUCCUCAUCGGAUUACCGAAUUCAGUCAAACUCCGAAUGCCAAUGACUUAUCCUUAGGAGUCAGACUGCGAGUGAUAAGAUCCGUAGUCAAAAGGGAAACAGCCCAGACCGCCAGCUAAGGUCCCAAAGUGUGUAUUAAGUGGAAAAGGAUGUGGAGUUGCUUAGACAACUAGGAUGUUGGCUUAGAAGCAGCCACCAUUUAAAGAGUGCGUAAUAGCUCACUAGUCGAGUGACUCUGCGCCGAAAAUGUACCGGGGCUAAAUACACCACCGAAGCUGCGGAUUGAUACCAAUGGUAUCAGUGGUAGGGGAGCGUUCUAAGGACAGUGAAGUCAGACCGGAAGGACUGGUGGAGUGCUUAGAAGUGAGAAUGCCGGUAUGAGUAGCGAAAGACGGGUGAGAAUCCCGUCCACCGAAUGCCUAAGGUUUCCUGAGGAAGGCUCGUCCGCUCAGGGUUAGUCAGGACCUAAGCCGAGGCCGACAGGCGUAGGCGAUGGACAACAGGUUGAUAUUCCUGUACCACCUCUUUAUCGUUUGAGCAAUGGAGGGACGCAGAAGGAUAGAAGAAGCGUGCGAUUGGUUGUGCACGUCCAAGCAGUUAGGCUGAUAAGUAGGCAAAUCCGCUUAUCGUGAAGGCUGAGCUGUGAUGGGGAAGCUCCUUAUGGAGCGAAGUCUUUGAUUCCCCGCUGCCAAGAAAAGCUUCUAGCGAGAUAAAAGGUGCCUGUACCGCAAACCGACACAGGUAGGCGAGGAGAGAAUCCUAAGGUGUGCGAGAGAACUCUGGUUAAGGAACUCGGCAAAAUGACCCCGUAACUUCGGGAGAAGGGGUGCUUUCUUAACGGAAAGCCGCAGUGAAUAGGCCCAAGCGACUGUUUAGCAAAAACACAGCUCUCUGCGAAGCCGUAAGGCGAAGUAUAGGGGGUGACACCUGCCCGGUGCUGGAAGGUUAAGGAGAGGGGUUAGCGUAAGCGAAGCUCUGAACUGAAGCCCCAGUAAACGGCGGCCGUAACUAUAACGGUCCUAAGGUAGCGAAAUUCCUUGUCGGGUAAGUUCCGACCCGCACGAAAGGUGUAACGAUUUGGGCACUGUCUCAACCAGAGACUCGGUGAAAUUAUAGUACCUGUGAAGAUGCAGGUUACCCGCGACAGGACGGAAAGACCCCGUGGAGCUUUACUGUAGCCUGAUAUUGAAUUUUGGUACAGUUUGUACAGGAUAGGCGGGAGCCUUUGAAACCGGAGCGCUAGCUUCGGUGGAGGCGCUGGUGGGAUACCGCCCUGACUGUAUUGAAAUUCUAACCUACGGGUCUUAUCGACCCGGGAGACAGUGUCAGGUGGGCAGUUUGACUGGGGCGGUCGCCUCCUAAAGUGUAACGGAGGCGCCCAAAGGUUCCCUCAGAAUGGUUGGAAAUCAUUCGUAGAGUGCAAAGGCAUAAGGGAGCUUGACUGCGAGACCUACAAGUCGAGCAGGGACGAAAGUCGGGCUUAGUGAUCCGGUGGUUCCGCAUGGAAGGGCCAUCGCUCAACGGAUAAAAGCUACCCCGGGGAUAACAGGCUUAUCUCCCCCAAGAGUCCACAUCGACGGGGAGGUUUGGCACCUCGAUGUCGGCUCAUCGCAUCCUGGGGCUGUAGU
rnacentral:rRNA from 1 species